GCUUUAGAUCUAUCUAGGAGAUUAUGCUGCUUCUUCUAUUAUCAUUCUUUAGGGUUUGCUGAAUUUCAAUUUCCCUUCACUUCGCUACAAUGCACCUUUAGGUUCUCGUGAUUCCUCCAUUUUUCCCUUUCCGUUACUCAUCAAGGUGAUGUUUUUUUCUAAAGGAUUUUGAGCAAAGGUCAGCGUGUAAAACCCCUGUAACUGUUAGAGGAUAGUGUCCCGCUUGUGUUUCUGCAAAAUUUGUUUUCCAGGUACACAAGAUGAUUCAACAUCAAAUUGUGCAGUCCCCUGCUAGACUAGGCCUCGCAAACCCUAAUUCUCCUUCAAUUCCGAACCCUACCCCGCCAAAGCUCCCUCCAACACAGACCCAGCAACCCCAAGACCGCAACUCGUCAACCCCUUCUUCUGCUCUUCUAUCACUCCUCCCACCCCUUCCCAGAGCCCAAGCACUUCUUCUCCAAAUGGCUUCCUUAACUUCCAAGCUCUUUGAAGUUUCCCCUAACCGGUCUCUUUGGGUCACUGCCUUCCGUGGAUCCAUUCCAACUUUCCUCUCGUCUCAUUCAUCCACCCCGCUUGACGCUUCUCCGUCCACUGUAAAAGAAAUAAUUUCCCUCUUUACUGUUCUCCAAACCCAAAUAUUCGAAGCUGUUGCCGAACUCCAAGAGAUUCUUGACCUUCAAGAUGCCAAGCAGAAGAUGGACCGUGAAAUUCGUUCCCAAGACUCAAUGCUACUUGCAUUUUCCAACAAACUCAAAGAUGCUGAGUGCUGCCUAGACAUCCUUGUCGAUGAUUACUCUGAUUAUCGCCGCUCCAAGCGAUCGAAAUCUGGAGAUGAUGAUUCCAUGACUUCAUCAACUGUCUCUUCUCAGUUGAAGCUGUCAGAUAUAUUAUCGUAUGCCCACAAGAUAAGCUACACCACCUUUGCACCACCGGAAUUUGGAGCCGGCCAAGCUCCUCUUCGCGGCGCAUUGCCACCUGCACCGCAAGAAGAGCAAAUGAGAGCUUCUCAGUUGUAUAAUUUUGCCGACCUUGAUGUUGGAUUGCCUAAGGAAGUCGAGUCCAAGGAUAAAAUUGUUGAAGCUAUUGUUGAGCCUCCACCACAGAUGGAUACUAAUACUGUUCCGAAUUUGUCUGCAUUUCAAGGAAUGCUGCCUCCUGUGCCACCUGGUUGGAAGCCGGGAAUGCCUGUCCAAUUGCCUACUGAUUUGCCACUGCCCCCGCCUGGGUGGAAACCAGGGGAUCCUGUGCCAUUGCCUCCAAUGGACUCCCUUCAAAUACCGAGAUUUGCAGAGCAACAAAUGCAACCUCACAUUCCUCAGCCCAAACAACCAGAAGUUAUUCAAGUGCAGCCAGUUAAUUUGGACCUUGGAGGAAGUGACACUAGUGACUAUAGUAGCGAUGAUGUCAGCUCUGAUGAUGAAGAUUGACAAGUUUGUUUAAACUGCUCAAUCACAAAUUGAUAACUGUACAGGCUGAUAUGCUUGAUGCUUAACUAUAAGUGGCAAUUAGGGAGUUUGCUGUCACAUCAUUCAGAAUUAACGUACUCUAGAGUAUCUCACAUGGAUCAGAUAUAUCAUGAAACUAUAUGGGUAGUUCUUUAAUCUCAAUUUUAUGUCCCAUGUUUGUAUUAAAUCUGUUGUUGUUGAAGAUAAUGAUUAAUAUUUAUUUAUUUAUUUAUUUAUUUUUCUCGUGAGUACUCUAGAAUGUGCUUUGCAGUCUUGUUGAGGUAAAUGAGAAGGUGGUUAGUGAGAAAUUUUAGGAAAUUGGCUUCAAGUCUA